rnacentral:tRNA from 1 species
GCCGAAGUGGUGAAAUUGGUAGACACGCAUGGUUCAGGACCAUGUAGGGGCAACCCUGUGGAGGUUCGAGUCCUCUCUUCGGCACCA